UUCUUAAGCCUAGAGAAGAGGAGGCUCAGGGAAGACCUCAUUGUUCUCUACAAUUACCUGAAAGGAGGUUAUAGGAAAGUGGAAAUCUUCUUCUCCUGGGUAACAGUGAUAGUUCGAGAGGGAAUGGCCUCAAGGUGCAUCAGGGUUCAGGUUUGAUAUUACAAAAAGCUUCUUAUCUGGGAGAGCAGCCAGGCAAUGGAACGGGAUGCCCAGGGAGGUGGUUGAGUCACUGUCCCUGGACUUGUACAAGAAACGUUUAGGUGUGGUACCAAGAAACAUGGUUUAGUGGGCAACAUUUGUGGUGGAUGGUUGGGCUAGAUAAUCUUAGAGGUCUUUUCCAGCCUUAAUGAUUCCAUGAUUUACACAACUCUGUAAUGUACUCUGCAUUUUCUAUGUGCCAUUCUUGUACAAAUUAAUUACAUUUGCUGAUUUUAUUUUGCAGGAAGGUUGAAGAUGGAGGACUUUAUGAUAACUCACACAGAAUGGUCUUGGGUAUUUUUGUAAAAAAAAACAAAACAAAACCACCACCACUCCAACUUUGGAAUUUAAUAGAAUACAUUCUUUGUUCAAAUCCCUCCUUCUUUCUUAUGGAGAGCUCGCACUGGUUAACAUUUAGAGUUUUAUUUAGUUGCCAUACAUACUUGUCUGGUGCCAUUUGAGACGCCCAAGAGUAUUCUUGCCUGUUGCCAACUGCUGCAGGAAAAUGGUACAAGCUUACGUAGGUUCCCUGCCGCUGUACAGAGCUAACGUAUCUCUGAAUAACAGCCUUGUUAGGUUGCAUUAAGAAUCUACAUUCUGACAAAUAGGCCCUUCUUGAAUAUCAUUUACACUGAUGAACCUGGUCACACAGGGACUUCUUCACAUUUUAUCUGGAACUGAUUCCCUCAAAACAACCCGUAUUUGUAGGAGUUUGUUGUGCAAUUCCAUGCCGUCCAAGUACAAAAGGACAAACUAAUUCUGACAUUAUUCAUCGUUCAUUUUAUUUUGGAAAUCUGUGAACUGCGGUGAAAAUGUAGCAUCUCUUUAGAUGCCAUGUAUUUAUUUUAGCAAUGGUGAGAAACUUUCUAUAAUUUCCUUAGUGCAAAUAGAAUCUGACUCAUCAUCUUCAGAGAUGAGUUCAAAGUUUAGGUUUACUUCCUGGUUUUUCUUACACUUAAGACCACGACUGAGCACUGUACCACUUGACUUACUUUGUUUGUUCUUUUGUGGAUUUUUUUCUAUCUUCACCUUUCUUCCAGAAGACCAACUGUUCUGUUGUGUUUGCUCCUAAAGCAGCAGGGCAAAUCAACAUUACUCUUUCUGGUGGAAGUUACUGGGAGAAGCAGCUGAAUUCUUUUUGUAAAAAGUUAAUUUAAUAAACAUGGAAGCAUUAAAGCCCAAGUGCUAAAAUUAAAUUUGCAUAGUAUGUGAGGCCUCUCAGUGCACAAAGACCAGAAAAUUAAUAGCAGCAGUAGCUGCUUACAUGGAAAGAAAGCCAUGAGUGGAAAAAGAGCAAACUGAAAGUUCUUUGUCCUCCUUUCCAGCCCUCAGUUCUCAGAAUUUUGUUUGGCAAGGAAAGCAGGGAAUCUGUCUGACUUUCAAAUAAUUACUGACGUAUUACUCCAUUGCAGGCAAGUAGCAAAGAGCAGCUGCUUAUUGCAGCCGGAGCCAAACUCUCCCUUUGCCAUCCCCCAUUUCUUCCUGCCUUCCCUGGAGAAAGCUAUCUCGCUGUUAAGUAAACUGGGAUUGGUUUGCAAGAUAUAUUAAGAUUACAUUAGAAAAAUAUUUACUUACGUAUAAAGGAGCCUUUUAAAAAAUCUUCAUUGCUUAGGAAACAAUGUGAUUUAGUGGGUAAAAAAUAAAAACAGAUUUGUUACUCUACAGUUGUGAAGCUGCCAUCUUUUACGAGCCUGGGAAGAGUGACCUUAUUCACUAUGCAAAACUGAAACAAACAAACCAACCUUCAGAUUUGACCUGGGGAGACAUUUGAUAAUCAGUCUGAUAAAUGAUAAAUCAGUCUGAUUUCUUGGCCUCUUUGAUAAUACACAAUGACACUUGGAUUAAUCUUCACAAUCCUGAGCAGAUAUAGCACCCAAACCUGCCCCCAGUGCUGGAGGCGAGGCCACCCACCGCAGAGCACAGUGAGACAACCCCUCCCCUCGCCCAGUGGCAGUGCUGGGCCUGCUGCCUGCCAGGGCACUGUGGAUCCUUUGCCUGCCAGGGCACACUGCUGGCUCACAUUCAGCUUGCCACAGCCCCCAUAUCACUUUGCAUGGGGCUGCUCUCCAUCUUCUUGUCUUUAGUCUGUGCUUAGAUCCGGUGUUGCCUCAUUCCAGAUGCAGAAUCCAGCACUUGCUCUUGUGCAGCUUCAUGCAGUUGGUGAUUGCCCAGCUCUCCAAUGUACCAAGAUCUCUCUGCAGAGCUUCUCUGCCCUCAAGGGAGUCAACAGCUCCUUCUUGAUGCCAUCUGCAAGCUUAUUUAGUAUACCUUCAAGAAACAUAUCCAAGUAAUUAAUAGAAACAUUGAAUAGAAUUGGACUUAAAAUGGAGCCGUGUGAAGCCCACCGCUGACAGACAUAGCCCAACCCAUCAGCCAACUAUUCACCUGUCAUGUUAUGUUUUUGCCUAGCUGUAUGCUGGACAUGUUGUCCAUCAGGAUACUGUGAGAAACAGUAUUGAAAUCUUUGCUGUCAUCCAAAAAUUUUGCACAGAAUGUCAUCCCUUGGUUGAUUGGAUCUCCUUUAAUAAAGUGAGCCUCUGUGUAUUUCUGAAGACAAUCACAGCAGUGAUCGAGGUUCACAGACUGACCUCUGUCUCUGCGUAUUUGAGUGGGACUUGAAAAUUUAUUUUUUAUGCAUUUCUAUGAUAAUAUGGAUUUACUUCAGUAAAACUGAAGUCAGACUUAAGUACCAGGCUGCUGUAAUUAUACAGUUUCUUUGAUAUUAAGAAGUAUGAAAGUCAAGAACUUUUACAAUUAUGGUCUAUUGUGGAGGAUAAUAAAUAUGCAUUCCAAGAAUCAUGGAAUAUAAUGAAUUUAAAACAGGAUCAAUUGUGAAAACAGACUUCUUGGAAAAGAAUGUAUUUUUAUGAUAUUCUCUCUACUGUCUGAAUUCUAUGAAAACCUGAGACUUAUCAACGUAUCCUCAUUUAACAACAGAACUGAAUUUAGUUUAUUAGAAUUAUUUGGAUUCAACUUCCAGAAAUUUCUUGUUGGGGAAUUUUGUAGUCAGAUAUAUUUUUAGUUUGAGUUUUUCUACAGAGGUCAGUAUUUCCAUAUCAAUAAACAAGAAGUAGGGUAAGAUUUUCCCUGGGUAUAAAAAAAUCACUUCUGACCACUGCUAAGGAGGCUUACAGCAGAUCAAUCAUAAUGGUACCUUCAUAAAUUUUAUACAUGCUUUCUUUUCUGCUAGUUGGGAUUUCGUUGAUUCUACAACCAGAAAUUGUCUUAUUCAAAUGGCAAGGAAAGAACUAGAAGGAUCUGGAGGAGAAUAUUGCAAUACCCUCAUCAACGGUAAACUACUGGCCUACUAAAAAUGAAAUGAAAUCCUUUUGGUACCUUCUC